UACGUAGGGUGCGAGCGUUAAUCGGAAUUACUGGGCGUAAAGCGUGCGCAGGCGGUGAUGUAAGACCGAUGUGAAAUCCCCGGGCUUAACCUGGGAACUGCAUUGGUGACUGCAUCGCUCGAGUAUGGCAGAGGGGGGGUAGAAUUCCACGUGUAGCAGUGAAAUGCGUAGAGAUGUGGAGGAAUACCGAUGGCGAAGGCAGCCCCCCUGGGUCAAUACUGACGCUCAUGCACGAAAGCGUGGGGGAGCAAAACAGG
rnacentral:rRNA from 1 species